rnacentral:rRNA from 1 species
CUGCAGUCGAGCGAAGUUUUUAAAGUGGAUUCUUUCGGGAUGAAACUUUAAAUGUCUUAGCGGCGGACGGGUGAGUAACGCGUGAGAAACCUGCCUUUCACAAAGGGAUAGCCUCGGGAAACUGGGAUUAAUACCUUAUGAUACUUUACCGCAUGGUAGAGAAGUUAAAGCGCAAAGCGGUGAAAGAUGGUCUCGCGUCCCAUUAGUUAGUUGGUGAGGUAACGGCUCACCAAGACUUCGAUGGGUAGCCGGCCUGAGAGGGUGAACGGCCACACUGGAACUGAGACACGGUCCAGACUCCUACGGGAGGCAGCAGUGGGGAAUAUUGCACAAUGGAGGAAACUCUGAUGCAGCGACGCCGCGUGAAUGAUGAAGGCCUUCGGGUCGUAAAAUUCUGUCCUAGGGGACGAUAAUGACGGUACCCUAGGAGGAAGCCCCGGCUAACUACGUGCCAGCAGCCGCGGUAAUACGUAGGGGGCGAGCGUUGUCCGGAAUUAUUGGGCGUAAAGGGUUCGCAGGCGGUCUUUUAAGUCAGAUGUGAAAGGCUACGGCUCAACCGUGGUAAGCAUUUGAAACUGAAAGACUUGAGUUAAGGAGAGGAAAGUGGAAUUCCUAGUGUAGCGGUGAAAUGCGUAGAUAUUAGGAGGAAUACCAGUGGCGAAGGCGACUUUCUGGACUUAUACUGACGCUGAGGAACGAAAGCGUGGGGAGCAACAGGAUUAGAUACCCUGGUAGUCCACGCCGUAACGAUGAGUGCUAGGUGUUGGGGGUCAAACCUCGGUGCCGCAGCUAACGCAUUAAGCACUCCGCCUGGGGAGUACGUACGCAAGUAUGAAACUCAAUGAAAUUGACGGA